rnacentral:rRNA from 2 species
ACUUAAAUUGAAGAGUUUGAUCAUGGCUCAGAUUGAACGCUGGCGGCAGGCCUAACACAUGCAAGUCGGACGGUAGCACAGAGAGCUUGCUCUUGGGUGACGAGUGGCGGACGGGUGAGUAAUGUCUGGGGAUCUGCCCGAUAGAGGGGGAUAACCACUGGAAACGGUGGCUAAUACCGCAUAACGUCGCAAGACCAAAGAGGGGGACCUUCGGGCCUCUCACUAUCGGAUGAACCCAGAUGGGAUUAGCUAGUAGGCGGGGUAAUGGCCCACCUAGGCGACGAUCCCUAGCUGGUCUGAGAGGAUGACCAGCCACACUGGAACUGAGACACGGUCCAGACUCCUACGGGAGGCAGCAGUGGGGAAUAUUGCACAAUGGGCGCAAGCCUGAUGCAGCCAUGCCGCGUGUAUGAAGAAGGCCUUCGGGUUGUAAAGUACUUUCAGCGGGGAGGAAGGCGAUGGGGUUAAUAACCCUGUCGAUUGACGUUACCCGCAGAAGAAGCACCGGCUAACUCCGUGCCAGCAGCCGCGGUAAUACGGAGGGUGCAAGCGUUAAUCGGAAUUACUGGGCGUAAAGCG